AUUGAACGCUGGCGGCAGGCUUAACACAUGCAAGUCGAGCGGGGUGAUGGUGCUUGCACUAUCACUUAGCGGCGGACGGGUGAGUAAUGCUUAGGAAUCUGCCUAUUAGUGGGGGACAACAUCUCGAAAGGGAUGCUAAUACCGCAUACGUCCUACGGGAGAAAGCAGGGGAUCACUUGUGACCUUGCGCUAAUAGAUGAGCCUAAGUCGGAUUAGCUAGUUGGUGGGGUAAAGGGCUACCAAGGCGACGAUCUGUAGCGGGUCUGAGAGGAUGAUCCGCGACACUGGGACUGAGACACGGCCCAGACUCCUACGGGGGGCAGCAGUGGGGAAUAUUGGACAAUGGGGGGAACCCUGAUCCAGCCAUGCCGCGUGUGUGAAGAAGGCCUUAUGGUUGUAAAGCACUUUAAGCGAGGAGGAGGCUCUUUUGGUUAAUACCCAAGAUGAGUGGACGUUACUCGCAGAAUAAGCACCGGCUAACUCUGUGCCAGCCGCCGCCGUAA
rnacentral:rRNA from 1 species